GCCAGGCGUGGUAGUGUAUGCCUGUAAUCCUAGCAGCUUGGGAGGCUGAGGCAAGAGGAUACUUUGAGCCCAGGAGUUUAGGGCCAGCCUGGGCAACAUAGAGAAACCCCAA
rnacentral:sRNA from 1 species